UACGUAGGGGGCAAGCGUUGUCCGGAAUUAUUGGGCGUAAAGAGCGUGUAGGCGGUCCGGUAAGUCAGCUGUGAAAGUCAAGGGCUCAACCCUUGAAAGCCGGUUGAUACUGUCGGGCUAGAGUCCGGAAGAGGCGAGUGGAAUUCCGGGUGUAGCGGUGAAAUGCGCAGAUAUCGGGAGGAACACCAAUGGCGAAGGCGGCUCUCUAGUACGGUACUGACGCUGAGACGCGAAAGCGUGGGGAGCGAACAGG
rnacentral:rRNA from 1 species